rnacentral:rRNA from 1 species
CCUACGGGAGGCAGCAGUGGGGAAUAUUGCACAAUGGGCGGAAGCCUGAUGCAGCGACGCCGCGUGAGGGAUGACGGCCUUCGGGUUGUAAACCUCUUUCAGCAGGGACGAAGCGUAAGUGACGGUACCUGCAGAAGAAGCGCCGGCCAACUACGUGCCAGCAGCCGCGGUAAGACGUAGGGCGCGAGCGUUGUCCGGAUUUAUUGGGCGUAAAGAGCUCGUAGGCGGCUUGUCGCGUCGACCGUGAAAACUUGGGGCUCAACCCCAAGCCUGCGGUCGAUACGGGCAGGCUAGAGUUCGGUAGGGGAGACUGGAAUUCCUGGUGUAGCGGUGAAAUGCGCAGAUAUCAGGAGGAACACCGGUGGCGAAGGCGGGUCUCUGGGCCGAUACUGACGCUGAGGAGCGAAAGCGUGGGGAGCGAACAGGAUUAGAUACCCUGGUAGUCCACGCUGUAAACGUUGGGCGCUAGGUGUGGGGGGCCUCUCCGGUUCCCUGUGCCGCAGCUAACGCAUUAAGCGCCCCGCCUGGGGAGUACGGCCGCAAGGCUAAAACUCAAAGGAAUUGACGG